GCUGACGGGAGGGAGAGCGGCCUGGGGCGAGGUUGUGAGUGCGGUGCCGUGGUGUGGCGUGGAAGGCGCGUGUGGGCCGAGUGUGCGUGGGUGCGCGAAUGUGUGCGUGUGCGCGAGUGGGGCGUGCUAGGCGAGUGUGCGCGCCCGCCCCUGCGCCCCUCCCCCCGCCUACACCUUGAUCUUAUUUGAUCGGGUGGUGGCCCCCGCCGCGCCGGGCAGGCCCGAAAUGAAAAGCUCUCCUCCUGCGAAGCCCCCUCUUCGGGGCGCUGUGCAGCGAGGCCCCUUGGGCGGCGGCAGCGCCGCGGUCUCCGAGGUCCCGGAGCGGGUCCUGCGGGGCCCGGCGCUCAGAAGUGAUGAAUUGAUCAGAUAGACGAGGCCGGGCUUGUCCCGGGCCGCUGAUUAUCGAGGCGAUUCUGAUCUGA